ensembl:lncRNA
GACGGACGAGGGCCCACUUGACCACUUGUGUGUGGAAAUGCGUAAGCAGGUCUGUUGUUCAUCACGUAGAGCGCGGCAGCGCGGAGGGUCAUGGAGGGGAGAUGGGGCUGGCCCGGGACGCCCUUCCUUCCGCUCCGACUCCAGGGCAGAAGACGGCGCGAUAACAAAAAGCGACAUUGCAAUCAAUGUAACACACAACGACUAACCCUGGAAAAAAAACUGAAUUUCCCGCGUCUCCACCGGGACGCGGUUUCAGCCAUCAGCCCGAUUAACCUCGGUUCCUGUUCUGGACUUAGUCAUGACCUCCUCUAUCAUUUUUAUUAGAAAACGACAUCGCAGAAACCCAACUCCAGGAAACAAGGGCUUAUAGGUGACCAUCAGACCAGGGCCAAGUGCAGACACCCCGCUCUGCCAGAACUGGGGCCGCGGGGGUCCCUCCCAGGGGCCGCGUUAUCAAAACAGGGGCCCCGCAGGAUGGAGCUUAUCGGCCGGACAACACUCGCUUAUAAUAGAAGUCUACAACAUGAGAGUGUGCCACAAGACCACACACUCACAUUUCAAACGGGUUUCUAGCAGCCAACAAGAAACUAAAUCAGUCCCAUCAGCAACACUGUUCAAAACUUUAUGGGAUUUAAAGGCCGAAGCAAUAUGUAGGCCUAUGAUUAAAGCCUAAUUAGCUAAAUCAAGGCUUUUGAACAUUUAAAAAAUGAAUUUAACCGACUAAUCGAACAAGAACCAGUCGUCAGAAAUUGUCUCGCGAAAUGGAUUGUUAAUUUUAAUUGAUGUCACGUUCUAUAGGCUAUACAUUUUUUUAUGAGAGCCAAUACAAUAUUUUCGUUCAUCAAAAUUAGUCCACAAAUAUAGGAAGAUAUAGUUCUAUACUGAUACAAAUAUUAAACCAUUUUAAGUGACGCAACAUUUGGCCUAUCUCGGGCCCGCAUAAUAUUGAUCAUCUCCGUGAUCGAUGAGACCAUUAAUCAAAUGAAUGAAACUCACCUUUUCCAAACACCCCGUGGGACCAUCCGAAUAGUAGGCCUGUACAUAGAAACAUUAGAUUCAUGUUGGGGGAGUCCCGGAGUCCGCAGAAAGGUAAAUCAAAGUGUGAUGGGAGCAGUUCUCCUUGAGGCCUGGGGAUAUGUUGUAUGCUAUCUCUUCAGGCUUCAGCAGGGAUACCCAGUGGUGGACAGACUGGGUGGUUUCCUGAAAACAGCUACGAUCACACAACGGGAAGCUUUCUUAAGUCCAGCGUAACUUUUUGCCAGCCCACUGGAUAGCGGCCCAGCUUUAUAAGAGUUCCCAGCCCCCGGAUAACGGACAUCCUGACGACACACCCACUGUGCGUAUAGCGACGUUCCCACUGCUGGAGGUGGGAACGAUCAUUCAACGGAGGAAAAGAUAAACGUGGGCUACUAAUGGUCAGAAUCUCCCAAAAAUAUAUAACCAUGACAAUGCCAAAAUAUGUCCUCGAUGGUCAACAGAUUUACGCAGGGCCAGUGACGCAUGUGGACCAGCACGUAGACGCAGAGGUGGAGACGUCGUGGCGCUUGACAUUAACCCCCAUCACAUGGCCAUUGCAUCAUUUUAGGCUUUAUAAAAUGCCUUGGUGUUAUAAUCUAUUCGUUGCAGAGCAUUUCAAUGGAUCGUAAAAGUUGUCUUAAAGGAACAAUAGGCUACUGUCAAAACGUUAUUGUAUGACUGAAUAAAGGUACUCAACGAGCUGAUUUAUUGAACGAAGAGGAGGACUCUCUGAGCAGUCAGUGCGGACCAAACUGGACAACAUCAGGCGUUAGAGGAACCGUGAGGUGUCCCGUGGGCCUACAGUGCACUCUUCAGCCAUACUGGUUCAUAUGCUGGUGUCAGUUCCGUUAAAAAACAACAUAACAAUUAUUUGUAUUGCAGAAAUUAACAUUAGUUGAAUGAAUAAAUGACCAUCUUGUGUGGUGUCAUUAUACUCUUAAUGUCAGAGUUUGAGCAGGACAGAGAAAGUAAACGGGAGAGGCGAGAGAGAAUCAGGGA